UUCCAAAAAAAAAAAAAGAAAGAAAGAAAGAAGGAAAGAAAGAAAUUUGCAAAGGAAAGAGCCGGGAGACAGAGACAUAGGAGAUUGCAGCGGACUGAGCCAGGAUGGGUGGGUCCAGGCCACCUCUGACUGAUGGCUUUCCGGCGAUUUGAGUGAUGGGCGAUCGGCAGCACCUUCUCAGAGAUCUACAGCUUGCAGGAGCUUGGUUCCCUACCAGGGAUUGAACCUGGGCCCCAUCAUUGAAAGUGCUGAGUCCUAACCACUGGACCACCAGGGAAUUCCCGUCAGUCUCCUGAUUUCUAGCCCAGUGCAGACCCAUCUGUCCAAUGAACUUUCAGUGUCACCUACUCUGGGCCAGUCACUCUGCCAACACUGAAGAUGGAGCAGUGAACAAGACAGACCAAGUCUGCCCUCCUGGUGCCUACAAUCCAGAUGCGAAACACCUGAAAUGGAUUUGUCCUCAUCUCCAGCCGCUCUUCCAGUCUGCAGAGUCAUUUUGAUUCUGCACCGACUCCCUCCCCGUAGGCUGCUCACACCCUCGGCCCCCAGCUGGAAAUGGAAGGAGGACUCUCACCAUUCAGUCCUCAUCCAGGCCAUCGACAAAAAUGUCAGACAGCGUGAGUCCAUGCCUGUACACCUCUCGGCCGCCAGUGGCCAACACUGGCAGAUCCAUCGAUGAGCUCCCAGCCUGCCACCUCCGGGCCUGCCUGCAGCCCUGGGCCUGGGUCUUGACUUGGAAUGCGAAGCCUGGGCCUAAUCGGGAGCCAUGGACAUGCAGAGACAGCACCUCCCGUCUCUAGACUGAAAGGCUGAACUGUGUAUCUGAUGCUGGGAGUUCACAGGCUGGAAAAGGAGAAAAACAGGAACAGGGACAUGAUAUAAGGCCGAUGCGGAUGGUACAGGAACACUUAUGGUGAAGACCACACAGGCCCACCAUCCCGGACCCCAAAUCCCUGGGCGGAUGGGUCCAGAACUCAGAAUUUUUCCAGUUGUAGGAGGAAAGUAUGACACAUAGACCACAUAGCUCCUAAUACCCCCAAUGAAGUGUGGGGCACCCCCAUAAUCAAACACGUUAACACAUCUGCAUCAAAGCCUCUGAACAAAGACAUAAAUACUCUGAAUCUCAGUCUUCUCAUCUCUAAAGUGGAGCAACGGUGGUAGUCGGCUCACACAGUUGCCCUAAGAAUUUGAUGCUUCUCAUGAUACCAGCCAGCCCGCAGGGCCUCAGACACAGGCUUUUGUCCUGCCCCAAGCCCUUGGCACUUGCUGCUCCUUUCUGGAAUAUUCCUCCCCAGACAUCUCACAAGAUCGCUCUCUCACCUCCUUCAGGACUCUCCUCAGCAAGGCUGGCCCUGGCCGUCCCAGUGUCCUCCCGCCCCUCUUGUUCUCCUUUCUCUUUGUUCCCAGCCUCUAACAUCUGACGUAUCAUUGAUUAAAUUCCUCAUUUGUUAAUUGCCUGCUCUCCCAUGGCAGAAUCCAAGUUCUGCGUGGGCAGGACUCUGUGCUGUCACCCACUUUGCCCCAGGACCUAGGACAGAGCUGGCACAGAUGGGCACUCUGAUUUUUGCUGAAUGAACGAUUGUCUGUUAAAUGUACCUCGCACAUCAGAAAGACCCAAUAAAGCACAGCUGGUGCCAUCACCAUUACUGUUA